AGCCAGACUCCUACGGGAGGCAGCAGUGAGGCCUCUUGGUCAAUGGCCGCGAGGCUGACCCCGCCAAGUCGCGUGCGGGAAGACGGCCCUCCGGGUUGUACCCCUCUUUUGUCGGGGCGCCAAGCGAGUCCCGUGUGACUCAUUGAGAGUACCCGAAGAAAAAGCAUCGGCUACCUCCGUGCCAGCAGCCGAGGUAAUACGGAGGAUGCGAGCGUUAUCCGGAUUUAUUGGGUUUAAAGGGUGCGCAGGCGGAAUGUAAAGUCUGCGGGAAAAUUUGGGGGCUCAACGCCGUCGUGCCGUUGAAACUGGCGUUCUUGAGUGAGCGAGAAGUAUGCGGAAUGCGUGGUGUAGCGGUGAAAUGCAUAGAUAUCAC
rnacentral:rRNA from 1 species